CGCGUAGGCGGACUUUCAAGUCGGAUGUGAAAUCUCUGGGCUCAACUCAGAGCGUGCAUCCGAUACUGUUAGUCUUGAGUAUAUCAGAGGAAAGCGGAAUUCCAGGUGUAGCGGUGAAAUGCGUAGAUAUCUGGAGGAACACCAGUAGCGAAGGCGGCUUUCUGGGGUAAUACUGACGCUGAAGCGCGAAGGCUAGGGGAGCAAACAGGAUUAGAUACCCUGGUAGUCC
rnacentral:rRNA from 1 species